UAAAAUCACAAGUCCCAAAUUAAAUUUUAUAUUAUAUAUAUAGAGUCCGGCUACUCUGCUAUUAAUAGCACGAAGCACUUGGUGCUACCAAAUUUUUCGCCAUUAGAUCUACCUUUUUGAUCAUUUUUAUCCGUUAGAUCAUACUAUUCAACCAACCACCCAUUCAACCCUAGAGGUCCCACAUCAUCCUAACCGCACAUCUCUUAAUCCAAUGGCCAAAAACUUGGGAGCACCAAUGACUUGGUGCUAUUAAUAGCAUAGCAGUCUAGUUCUACAUAUAUAUAUUAUUUGUCUAAUAUUAAUUUUGCAAAUUACU
rnacentral:lncRNA from 1 species